GCGGGUGUAGUUCAAUGGUAGAACCUCAGCCUUCCAAGCUGAAUAUGAGGGUUCGAUUCCCUCUACCCGCUCCA
rnacentral:tRNA from 1 species